rnacentral:rRNA from 1 species
UACGAAGGGGGCUAGCGUUGUUCGGAAUAACUGGGCGUAAAGGGCGCGUAGGCGGUUUGGUGCGUUUGGUGUGAAAGUCCUGGGCUUAACCUAGGGAUGGCAUUGAAUACGGCUAGACUGGAGUGCGAGAGGGGAAGAUGGAAUUACGCGUGUAGAGGUGAAAUUCGUAGAGAUGCGUAAGAACACCGGUGGCGAAGGCGAUUUUCUGGCUCGCAACUGACGCUGAGGCGCGAAAGCGUGGGGAGCAAACAGG